AAGUCGGCAAUGACACGAAAUUCAAACGGCAAAAUAGAAUUUUGGAACUUCAUAGUAUCUAGUAGAAUCCUCGUACGGUUGGCGUCGUGGAACGACAAGGUAUUCCUUUUUGUUACAAAAGGGAAGAAACACAAGCUUCUCUGAUGCUUCCUUUGCCAAAAAUAAAUCUAUUAAUUCCAGGUAUAUUGACUACGCAUUAGAUAAUAUCAUUUACAUGUAUCAAAAAUUAAAUAACGUAUGACCCAAGUUAUAGCCAACGAUUCGUUAUUAGUUUGUGUCUAUCCAGUUCUAGACCAAGAACAGAGGCCAAAUCAAGAUUUUGUGUUUCUAUGAUGCUUCCUUGUCAAGCAUGGGAGUAGACUUGAGGUUUUCUGGUUUAGGGUAGAGGAUGAAAAUGCGGUCCCCUUGUAUUUUGCUCUCUUUUGAGUUUACUUUAUCUUAUAUGUUGUAUAAUUAAACAAAGGUGGUUGUUGAACAAUCUCCCUCAAAUUUCGGUAAUCUAUUUGAUCAUUCCUUGCGAGUGUUAGUUUGAGUGAAAUAUAUUAUAGGAAGUGUGCUUCCGAUUGUAUUUUAGAUAUGUGAGCAAAAAUGAGGUGUUAGAUGAACAAUCUCUUUAAACAGAUCUUUUGCUAAUUCAUCCAUGUGAAUUUAUAAUAACUAAUUUAAUACACAUUUAGACACAAAAUUAGCUGAACAAUAUAGUAUUAAUUGCUAAAUUACAGCAUAACUUUUUGUUCUUUCAAAUAUUUAAUGAUCAAUGCACGUGAAAAACAACUUUAAGGAGAUAGAAAGAAAAGAGGGUCAAAGUUGAAGUAGAAGAGGCUCGAGGAAGAUUGCCACCAACUGACCAAAGAUAGGAAGAAUAUUUUAAGUAAUGCUUUUAAUUUAAUUGUUGUAUGGAAAAAAUUAUCAUGUGCUUUCUUGAAUAACAAAUUUCAAGACCUUCAUCUCGUA